rnacentral:rRNA from 1 species
UCUGGCGGCGGACUACACAUGCAGUCGAGCGGCAGCGGAAGUAGCUUGCUACUUUGCCGGCGAGCGGCGGACGGGUGAGUAAUGUCUGGGAAACUGCCUGAUGGAGGGGGAUAACUACUGGAAACGGUAGCUAAUACCGCAUAACGUCGCAAGACCAAAGAGGGGGACCUUCGGGCCUCUUGCCAUCAGAUGUGCCCAGAUGGGAUUAGCUAGUAGGUGGGGUAACGGCUCACCUAGGCGACGAUCCCUAGCUGGUCUGAGAGGAUGACCAGCCACACUGGAACUGAGACACGGUCCAGACUCCUACGGGAGGCAGCAGUGGGGAAUAUUGCACAAUGGGCGCAAGCCUGAUGCAGCCAUGCCGCGUGUAUGAAGAAGGCCUUCGGGUUGUAAAGUACUUUCAGCGGGGAGGAAGGUGUUGAGGUUAAUAACCUCAGCAAUUGACGUUACCCGCAGAAGAAGCACCGGCUAACUCCGUGCCAGCAGCCGCGGUAAUACGGAGGGUGCAAGCGUUAAUCGGAAUUACUGGGCGUAAAGCGCACGCAGGCGGUCUGUCAAGUCAGAUGUGAAAUCCCCGGGCUCAACCUGGGAACUGCAUUCGAAACUGGCAGGCUAGAGUCUUGUAGAGGGGGGUAGAAUUCCAGGUGUAGCGGUGAAAUGCGUAGAGAUCUGGAGGAAUACCGGUGGCGAAGGCGGCCCCCUGGACAAAGACUGACGCUCAGGUGCGAAAGCGUGGGGAGCAAACAGGAUUAGAUACCCUGGUAGUCCACGCCGUAAACGAUGUCGACUUGGAGGUUGUGCCCUUGAGGCGUGGCUUCCGGAGCUAACGCGUUAAGUCGACCGCCUGGGGAGUACGGCCGCAAGGUUAAAACUCAAAUGAAUUGACGGGGGCCCGCACAAGCGGUGGAGCAUGUGGUUUAAUUCGAUGCAACGCGAAGAACCUUACCUACUCUUGACAUCCAGAGAACUUUCCAGAGAUGGAUUGGUGCCUUCGGGAACUCUGAGACAGGUGCUGCAUGGCUGUCGUCAGCUCGUGUUGUGAAAUGUGGUAGUCCCGCCACGAGCGCAACCUUAUCCUUUGUGGCAGCGUCGGCGGACUCAAGAACUGCAGUGAUACCUGGAGAGUGGAUGACUCAAGUCAUCUAUGCUUACGGAUAGGCUACACACGUGUCUAACAUG